rnacentral:lncRNA from 1 species
AACAAUAUUAUCUCCUCGAACAGGAGAACACACGGCGCCUCCCGCCAUGACUACAAUCUCUAUUCUCUCCUCUCUCUCACACCGCACUUUCACCUCAUACAAUGACAAAUCCUCUUCAUUUUUUCUAUUAAAACCUUUUCUCCAGUUCCAACCUCUCCAAUUCCUCCGCACUACAAAUUACUCUCAAUUCAAAACUUCAUACAAAUUCCCCAAGUCAAGUUUUCCAAUCGAAUCACAAUCUCAACUCUCCGAAGAAGAAAAUGAAGCCGAAAGUGAUGUGGAUGAGGAUGAUGACGUGGUGGCAGAAGAGUACGACGUCGUUUCUGGUGAAUUAGGUGAAGAGAGUGAAGAGGAAGAAGAAGAAGAAGAAGGGCUGUGAGUUUGUCAAAAAAAAUAAAAAAAGAAAGAAAGAAAGAGAUAUGGUUUAUAUUUUCUUGAAGCAAUAUCAAUCUUUAGCCUAACUGCAACAAUUUUAAAUGAUAAAAUCACUUUACAAAAUUGUGGCAUGACAUAUAUGGGAGAAAAGAAUUAAAAUCUUUACAAACUCAAUAUAUGUUUUUUAUAAAAUAAUUUUGUGAUGUUAUUUACUGUGAACAAUGUGUUAUAUGUAAGCAGAUUAAGUUGCAUUUUCUGCUUGAAAUUCAUAAAUCUAAACAUCUACUUGAACAUUUGCAUGCUGAUUUUUGGGGCUUACAUAUGUUACUACUCAAGCUGGUUUUAAAUAUUAUUUAUUGCCUACAUCUGUAUCAUUUGUAACUGCUAAUAGAUUUGACUUAAAAGAGAAAUUGAUACUGACUAAUUAUGUUGAUGUUAGUUAAAUGAAAACAAAAAUUAUUUGACCUAAAAUUAUAUAAAACUCAGAAAUUUACGAAUGGCUUAAAUUUGUCCUAAAUUUGGAUGAAAAUUCACGUUUAAUUCUCUAUAGGAAAAUGAGAUAUUUUUUAGUAUUGUGGAUUUUUAGAUACUAUACAAUCAAUCAAAUGGAUGGAUUAAAUCUAAUCAAAAAGGAUGUUUUUGUUAGGAAAGUGAUUACGAAAAAUAGGACUCAAAAUUCAAGUAUAAUAAAAAUUUCAUAAUCCAGAAAAAUUAUCAUAUUCAUUUUAUAUCAAUUUGGCGACAUGGUCAAGUGGCAAGGCGGGGACGACAAGCGUUGCCCCCCAGGGAACAUCCCAACUGGCAAAGAUGAGGGCGCUUCAAUGCUGACAGAUCAGAGGUCGUGAAUUCGAUUCCUGAAAGGUUCUUGGAAGGCAGAUAUUCUCCUGGAAGGUAGAAUUUAUCUUGGAAGGCAUGAGCUCUACUGGAAGACAAGGUGCAAAGAUGGAAAACGACUUGUUUGACACUUUGGUAGAUCAGUUGGGGGGUUUUUUAGCACUGGUCAGUUUGGAGCACAACCUGUGGUUUAACCUGUGUGCAGCUUGAGGGGCCAAAGUGUAGACUCCAGGAUUUAGUUAUUGUAAGAUGGAUACCUGGAUAUAAAAAAAAUAAAAAUAAAUAAAUAAAUAAAGAGCUUCUACAAAUCGUACUCUUUCAAACGAUUAAGAGUUUCUGUCGAAGACUCUUUAUUUAUAAAGAGUAUCUUAUGUCUUAUAGUGGGUAUCUUUAAAUUUAAAGAGUCAAAAUUUUUAUGUAAACCAUCGAUGAUCUUUAUUUUGUUUUUAUUUUUUUUUAUUUUACUUUCUCAAGAAAUAUUUAUUGAAUUAUCUUUAUAUUUUAUUUAACACAAUUUUUUAUAUGCCGAUGAUCAAUCAAUAAAUGUGAUUUAAAUAGUUUAAAAAGUAAAAUAUUGAAAUAUGUGACUUAUUAAGUGCGUAAAUUAAGCAUUAAUUCUUUAAAAUAAAAAAAAUAUUUUAUAUUUAUAAAGUCUUGAAAGUCCCUUUUUUAAGUAGAGUGCCAAGUUAAAAAUUGAAUAUCAACAAACAAAGAAAUCUUGGUACUAUCAGUCCAUAACUGUAUUGGGACAUCUCCUCUCUUUAAUUCGUACUACCCUUCCUUUACGCCUCCCUUCUUCAUAAUCUAGUCUCGUAAACAAAUAUGUAGAGUUGGGAUUUAAGAAAACAAGCUAUCUCGAUUAUCAACCUGGAGAAUUUCUUGAUCCAACAAACUAUCUCGCAGGUGAGAUUAAGUUAAAUUUGUAGUAAACAAUUUGUUGUCAUAUGUCGCAAACCGAUGGUGGUUGUUUUGGCAGCGGUAUUGUGAGAAUUCAAGUGGCAGAGGGUUGAGAGGCUACGAAAUGAAGUGCGAGAGUUUGGUGAGGAAAUCAUUGAUGUUGAGGAGCUGUCGUCUAUUUACAAUUUCAGAAUUGAUAAAUUUCAGGUUAAUUUUCAAUUUUUUGGUGAAAUCUGAUCUUAAGAUGUGUCUAUGCACGAUCAUUCUACUGUUGUAGAGCAGCUAUUAUUACAGCAUAAGGCACAACUAUUUAUAUAUUUCAGGACAGUUUAGAGUUUCACUAACAAAAUACCUGUUUGCGCCAAUGCCUAUGUGUCUCUGUAUAAUGUACUUAUAGUCGUGAAUGCAUAGAAUAAUAUGUAAGCGGAGUGUACAGACCUGUUGACAUAUUUGUUCGUUUGGAAAAGUUAAGUAUGAGUGUUAAUGUGCAAUGAAUAGAAAAGCUUGAUAUAUAUAAAUGGAUGAAAAUUCACGUUUAAUUCUCUAUAGGAAAAUGAGAUAUUUUUUAGUAUUGUGGAUUUUUAGAUACUAUACAAUCAAUCAAAUGGAUGGAUUAAAUCUAAUCAAAAAGGAUGUUUUUGUUAGGAAAGUGAUUACGAAAAAUAGGACUCAAAAUUCAAGUAUAAUAAAAAUUUCAUAAUCCAGAAAAAUUAUCAUAUUCAUUUUAUAUCAAUUUGGCGACAUGGUCAAGUGGCAAGGCGGGGACGACAAGCGUUGCCCCCCAGGGAACAUCCCAACUGGCAAAGAUGAGGGCGCUUCAAUGCUGACAGAUCAGAGGUCGUGAAUUCGAUUCCUGAAAGGUUCUUGGAAGGCAGAUAUUCUCCUGGAAGGUAGAAUUUAUCUUGGAAGGCAUGAGCUCUACUGGAAGACAAGGUGCAAAGAUGGAAAACGACUUGUUUGGCACUUUGGCAGAUCAGUUGGAAGGGCUCUGAGCACUGGUCAUUUGCGGCAUAAUCUGAGGUUUAACCUGUCUGCAACUUGAGGGGUCAAGGUGUAGACUCCAGGAUUUAGUCACUGUAAGAUGGAUAUCUGGAUAUAAAAAAAAAAAAAAAAAGGCGGGGACGGCAAGCGCAAAUCCUUUUUCUCCUGUUCACCUUAUCCUUAUUACGGAGAAGGCUAUUUGGAAAAAAUGUCCAAAAAGGCCUGUGGCAUUGAGAAGGUCCACAUCUGUACAUUUACAAAUUUAUGAGGUAUCUUAAUGAAAAAAGAAAAACAAUAACAAUAUUAUCUCCUCGAACAGGAGAACACACGGCGCCUCCCGCCAUGACUACAAUCUCUAUUCUCUCCUCUCUCUCACACCGCACUUUCACCUCAUACAAUGACAAAUCCUCUUCAUUUUUUCUAUUAAAACCUUUUCUCCAGUUCCAACCUCUCCAAUUCCUCCGCACUACAAAUUACUCUCAAUUCAAAACUUCAUACAAAUUCCCCAAGUCAAGUUUUCCAAUCGAAUCACAAUCUCAACUCUCCGAAGAAGAAAAUGAAGCCGAAAGUGAUGUGGAUGAGGAUGAUGACGUGG